AUGCCAGCCAGACUUCUCAGAGCCAUGGUCAGAUCUACCGUACACUGGCAAAAGCACAUCAGUGCCAAAGAAUUGGUCAUCUAAUGUUAAAACCACUAAAGGAAUUUGAAAAUACAACAUGCGGCACACUGACAAUACGUCAAAACUUGGAUUUGUUCCUUCCUGAUAAUACAGCUGGUAGUCUGAAUAAGUCUCAGAUCCUGUAAAUGAACCAAAAAAAAAAAAAAAAAAUCAAAUACAAGCAUUGUCUCUCCAUUAAAUGCUGCUCACUGCCAAGACGAAAAGGCACACCUUCCAACCAUGAAAUCCUUUGGUACUCACAAGAGAGUGACCCACAAACCAAAUCUAUUGGGGUCUAAAUGGUUUAUAAAAAUAUUAAAGAGGCAUUUCUCAUCUGUAUCAAUGGAAACAUUUGUUCCAAAACAAGGCUUUCCACAUAUCAAGAGACCACUAAAGCAUCCAGGACCAAGCAGCCAUCUAGGACCAACCUUCCAGUUCUGUCUGUGAACGA
rnacentral:lncRNA from 1 species